rnacentral:rRNA from 1 species
GUAGGUGGCAAGCGUUGUCCGGAAUUAUUGGGGCGUAAAGCGCGCGCAGGCGGUUUUUUAAGUCUGAUGUGAAAGCCCACGGCUCAACCGCGGAGGGGUCAUUGGAAACUGGAGAACUUGAGUGCAGAAGAGGAGAGUGGAAUUCCACGUGUAGCGGUGAAAUGCGUAGAGAUGUGGAGGAACACCAGUGGCGAAGGCGACUCUCUGGUCUGUAACUGACGCUGAGGCGCGAAAGCGUGGGGAGCAAACAGGAUUAGAUACCCUGGUAGUCCACGCCGUAAACGAUGAGUGCUAAGUGUUAGAGGGUUUCCGCCCUUUAGUGCUGCAGCAAACGCAUUAAGCACUCCGCCUGGGGAGUACGGUCGCAAAGACUG